rnacentral:rRNA from 1 species
AUUGAACGCUGGCGGCAGGCCUAACACAUGCAAGUCGAACGGUAACACAGUGAGAGUUUGUUCUUUGCUGUGGCGUGGCGGGGGGGUGAGAGGUGUAUAGCGAACUCUCUGUUUUCGGGGGGUAACAAGUAGAAACGGUUACUAUUAUAGCGCAUCCUCCCAAGACCUGAGAGGAGGGGAUCUUCGCCCCUUGCGCGCUUGAAUGCGCCGAUGUGGGAUUAGCUAGUAGGUGGGGUAAAGGCCCACCUAGGCGACGAUCCGUAGCUGGUCUGAGAGGAUGAUCAGCCACACUGGAACUGAGACACGGUCCAGACUCCUACGGGAGGCAGCAGUGGGGAAUAUUGGACAAUGGGCGCAAGCCUGAUGCAGCCAUGCCGCGUGUGUGAAGAAGGCCUUCGGGUUGUAAAGUACUUUUGUCGGGGAGGAAAAGAGGAAGGUUAAUACCUUGGUUUAUUGACGGUACCCGCAGAAGAAGCACCGGCUAACUCCGUG